GGUACUCAAAAGAGAGGUUUUCCCCGGCGAAUUCAUUGUUUAUGACGGAUCAUUCUUGGCCAACCUCUUUUCAGUGUC
rnacentral:pre_miRNA from 1 species